GAAGUCCAGUUCCUCCUCCUCCUGCUCCUUCACUUCACCUCUGGCCUCUGCUCUGUUUGUUCCAGCUCUCCUUUCUCUGUCGUGUCCCCGAGUUUUCUCUGUCC